UACGAAGGGGGCGAGCGUUGUUCGGAAUUACUAGGCGUAAAGGGCGCGUAGGCGGCCGAUCAAGUCAGAUGUGAAAGUCCUGGGCUUAACCUGGGGACUGCAUUUGAUACUGAUUGGCUUGAAUGCAGGAGAGGAUAGCGGAAUUCCCAGUGUAGAGGUGAAAUUCGUAGAUAUUGGGAAGAACACCGGUGGCGAAGGCGGCUAUCUGGACUGUGAUUGACGCUGAGGCGCGAAAGCGUGGGGAGCAAACAGG
rnacentral:rRNA from 1 species